rnacentral:rRNA from 1 species
UACGAAGGGGGCUAGCGUUGCUCGGAAUCACUGGGCGUAAAGGGUGCGUAGGCGGGUCUUUAAGUCAGGGGUGAAAUCCUGGAGCUCAACUCCAGAACUGCCUUUGAUUCUGAGGAUCUUGAGUUCGGGAGAGGUGAGUGGAACUGCGAGUGUAGAGGUGAAAUUCGUAGAUAUUCGCAAGAACACCAGUGGCGAAGGCGGCUCACUGGCCCGAUACUGACGCUGAGGCACGAAAGCGUGGGGAGCAAACAGG